AACUUUUUAGUAUAUAAAGUAUAAUUAAUUUCCAAUUAAUAGGAUACUUGAAAGUUU
rnacentral:tRNA from 1 species